GGCACCUUCCACCUUACAGUCCCUAUCAAGGCCCAGGGAUCAUCACACCCCCCAGUUUGAGUAGAUUCCUUCAGAGGUCCGGGCUUAUUGUAUUUAGGAGUACUGAAAUUCUAUGGAGUUCAGGAGGGAGAUAGUUGACAUUGCUAUCGGUGGAUUCAUCGAUGGUUUCAAGAAUUAUAAGGUCCACCUGCUGUAGAUAAUGCCAUAUUUGGAGAUCCACCCCUUUCAGCUCGAAAAUAGCGAUGAGGAGGCUUCCUCA
rnacentral:lncRNA from 1 species